rnacentral:lncRNA from 1 species
AGCUUGUGCUUGGCCUCAAACAAUCUAGGAUCCUCAUCCUUGCUAACUAUAUUUUUUGUGCCCCUUAAGAUGCAAAGAAAUUUAAGUAAACAGUAGUUAUAUACUGUUAUUUUAUCAUGGGGUGUGAUCCUCUAACGUGAUACUUGUAGAACUGCUACAAGGGUAUAUUAAAUUCUAGACCGAUGUUACCUGGAAUGUGGAUUGUUUUGAUUAGUAGAAUCAGUAAGUUACAUAGGUAAAACAUCGUACCCUAGGAGUAGCUUUAGAAAGAAAUGCUUAUAAUUAGAAAACAUCUAAAUGCAACAAAGCUAAAUUUCAGAGAAGAUGUUUAGUUACAUCAAACCAGUUGAUUUUUCUAUAUAAAAAAAAAAAUCUAGUAUAUUUAUGAACAUCUAAUAAUGAGUAAAAUAUUGAUAUUUUUGAAAUUAGAGGUAUCUACGACCUCUGUACUGGACUUCGCCACGAGCAGUUGGUAUCGUUAGAAACUCACCAUAGAGAUUGACAUAGAAGCUUAUGAAAGUGUUUCUCAUCAAUUAAAUGUAUCAUGUGCGGAAUAUUAAAUGACUCAUACAAGGAACCGAUUUUAAAGUGACAAACUUAAUAAUCACAACUUAUUCCAACACCAGAAUCAUCCAUUCUGCCACUCCAAAUUGAUCAUAAAGCCCUAUAACUUUCAGGAUGUCAUACCCAAAUACCAUAAAAAAUGAGUUUUCUAGAUGUCAGAUACAGUAAACUAGUAAACUCAGAAUGUAUUCAACAAAGAAUGUCUGCUUCCAAAGCCUACUAGCAUUUAAUACAAACCAUCCAGUUAAUGUCUGUAGGUUAUUUACGAAGACAGCGAAAGCCUACUAGCAUUUAAUACAAACCAUCCAGUUAAUGUCUGUAGGUUAUUUACGAAGACAGCGAAAGCCUACUAGCAUUUAAUACAAACCAUCCAGUUAAUGUCUGUAGGUUAUUUAUGAAGACAGCGAAAGCCUACUAGCAUUUAAUACAAACCAUCCAGUUAAUGUCUGUAGGUUAUUUACGAAGACAGCGAAAGCCUACUAGCAUUUAAUACAAACCAUCCAGUUAAUGUCUGUAGGUUAUUUACGAAGACAGCUAAGAUAUAUGACUAGCCAUAACCAGCAAUAUGAGGUAAACUUUUUAACAAUUAUUAAAAUAAAACAGAAGCAGUAAUAUUGUGCAUAAAUCAAACACAUUUCUGUCGCAAAUACACAUAGUCAUCCUUCUCUUAACAUAAACUAUAAUCUCGCUUUCAUUACUGGUUGCAACGCUUUACACCUAUGCCAAAUGCAAGAACAGGUAAACCAGAAAAGAAUGAACAUGAUCACAAGGAAUGCAAAUUCAAAAACAACAGAACUUAAGUACAUCCAAUAGAACUUAGAAUCGAGAAACAAACCAUUCAUGAGGAUAAGGAGUACAGGCAUUUAGAAAAUUUCACCUUAUAAAGACAUCCACUCAACAAUAGUCAAUUCUGCUACAUCAACAUAGCAAGGAUUGCGUAAAUGCUUGAUGGUAAAAAGCUAAUGGAUAUUCCCUCUUCUAUUUACGUUUUACUUAUGCUAUGAUUAACUUAAUAAUCUUAUAUCUCUAACAAAUUAUUAUUCUUUGUCACUUAAAACACAUUACCUAAAGUUUCUUGAAAACCUACCUCCAAGUGUCAAAAAGUACGCCACAACCAUGAAUUAAAAUCCAAAUAUGCAAAAUUGUAAGUGUCAAAAGUGAGCUAGCUAUCCAAUAAAGAUGUCCAUUUUAGGCAGCAAGUCACACGUAUAGACUAUAUGGUUCAACACAAGUCUUAUCUUCGCCAAGCUCCUAACUAUUUUCAUGGAAAAUACAAACAUAAUAAUAACUAAAUGCACGUUGAGAGUAACACCAGUAAGGAGUUAGCUUCCUUGCA